UUUUCUUCUUAAUUAAACACAGAAGCUGCUGAUCUGAGGACAAAAAUAGAAUCUGAUGAAGUCUGAAUUUUUUCCCAGAAAAUAUUCUGUCUUUGCCUCCAGAUGUCAAAAGUUACACAUGAGUACAGCUCACACAGGGAAAGGGGAAAACAGCAACCUCUUGAGCUGGAGCCUUAGGCUAGAAAAGAUCACUGAUUACCCACCUGUUCCCCCUGGAUACUAGGGCUUCAAUCCAGAAGGUGCUGUGAUGAAGUGGCUUCAGCAAAAUAUUACCUGAGACAUCCUGAUCCAUUAUGAGAACGGCAGCAGCAGGAUUUGGCCUGGGGAUGGAACAAAGGGACCCCCUGCUGUAGAGCAAGGGAGAAGGGAAUUUUAAAGAAGAGAUUGCAUCAAUAAAGAUUCUUUUAGCAUUAUUUUUAUCAUUAUAAAAAUUACACAUACUUGUUUUAGAUUAUUUGAAAACUUCAGAGCUGUAAAGAUGAAAAUAAAAAUUGCUUAUUAUCUUAAUCGGCAAAAUUAACCAUCCUUAACAUUUUUAUAUGUCUUUUAGUUAUUUUGUAUGCCUAUGUUUAUAAUGAAACAGUUUUGAAUUUUUUAACGUAUU
rnacentral:lncRNA from 10 species